rnacentral:rRNA from 1 species
AGCUUGUUGGUGAGGUAACGGCUCACCAAGGCGACGACGGGUAGCCGGCCUGAGAGGGCGACCGGCCACACUGGGACUGAGACACGGCCCAGACUCCUACGGGAGGCAGCAGUGGGGAAUAUUGCACAAUGGGCGCAAGCCUGAUGCAGCGACGCCGCGUGAGGGAUGACGGCCUUCGGGUUGUAAACCUCUUUCAGCAGGGAAGAAGCGAGAGUGACGGUACCUGCAGAAGAAGCGCCGGCUAACUACGUGCCAGCAGCCGCGGUAAUACGUAGGGCGCAAGCGUUGUCCGGAAUUAUUGGGCGUAAAGAGCUCGUAGGCGGCUUGUCGCGUCGAUUGUGAAAGCCCGGGGCUUAACUCCGGGUCUGCAGUCGAUACGGGCAGGCUAGAGUGUGGUAGGGGAGAUCGGAAUUCCUGGUGUAGCGGUGAAAUGCGCAGAUAUCAGGAGGAACACCGGUGGCGAAGGCGGAUCUCUGGGCCAUUACUGACGCUGAGGAGCGAAAGCGUGGGGAGCGAACAGGAUUAGAUACCCUGGUAGUCCACGCCGUAAACGGUGGGCACUAGGUGUUGGCGACAUUCCACGUCGUCGGUGCCGCAGCUAACGCAUUAAGUGCCCCGCCU